GAGGGGUAACAGGGGAGAGCUUGCUCUUUCGCUGACGACCGGCGCACGGGUGCGUAACGCGUAUACAACCUACCUUUUGGAGGGGAAUAGCCCAGGGAAACUUGGAUUAAUGCCCCAUAGUAUGGGAAUAUCUCCUGAUAUUUUCAUUAAACAUUUAUGGCCAUUAGAUGGGUAUGCGUCCUAUUAGUUAGUUGGUAAGGUAACGGCUUACCAAGGCAGCGAUAGGUAGGGGUCCUGAGAGGGAGAUCCCCCACACUGGUACUGAGACACGGACCAGACUCCUACGGGAGGCAGCAGUGAGGAAUAUUGGACAAUGGGCGAGAGCCUGAUCCAGCCAUGCCGCGUGCAGGAAGACUGCCCUAUGGGUUGUAAACUGCUUUUACAGAGGAAGAACCACUCCCACGUGUGGGAGUUUGACGGUACUCUGCGAAUAAGGAUCGGCUAACUCCGUGCCAGCAGCCGCGGUAAUACGGAGGAUCCAAGCGUUAUCCGGAAUCAUUGGGUUUAAAGGGUCCGUAGGCGGGCAGUUAAGUCAGUGGUGAAAGUCUUCCGCUCAACGGGAGAACUGCCAUUGAUACUGAUUGUCUUGAGUUAUUAUGAAGUGGUUAGAAUGAGUAGUGUAGCGGUGAAAUGCAUAGAUAUUACUCAGAAUACCGAUUGCGAAGGCAGAUCACUAAUAAUAUACUGACGCUGAUGGACGAAAGCGUAGGUAGCGAACAGGAUUAGAUACCCUGGUAGUCUACGCCGUAAACGAUGGUUACUAGCUGUUCGGCCCGAUUAAGGGCUGAGUGGUUAAGCGAAAGUGAUAAGUAACCCACCUGGGGAGUACGUUCGCAAGAAUGAAACUCAAAGGAAUUGACGGGGGCCCGCACAAGCGGUGGAGCAUGUGGUUUAAUUCGAUGAUACGCGAGGAACCUUACCAGGGCUUAAAUGUAGUCUGACAGGAGUGGAAACACUUUUUUCUUCGGACAGAUUACAAGGUGCUGCAUGGUUGUCGUCAGCUCGUGCCGUGAGGUGUCAGGUUAAGUCCUAUAACGAGCGCAACCCCUGUGGUUAGUUGCCAGCGAGUAAUGUCGGGAACUCUAGCCAGACUGCCGGUGCAAACCGUGAGGAAGGUGGGGAUGACGUCAAAUCAUCACGGCCCUUACGUCCUGGGCCACACACGUGCUACAAUGGUAGGGACAGAGAGCAGCCACUUCGCGAGAAGGAGCGAAUCUACAAACCCUAUCACAGUUCGGAUCGCAGUCUGCAACUCGACUGCGUGAAGCUGGAAUCGCUAGUAAUCGCAUAUCAGCCAUGAUGCGGUGAAUACGUUCCCGGGCCUUGUACACACCGCCCGUCAAGCCAUGAAGCCGGG
rnacentral:rRNA from 1 species